GAUGAACGCUAGCGGCAGGCUUAACACACGCAAGUCGAGGGGCAGCGAGGGUAGCAAUACCUGUCGGCGACCGGCAAACGGGUGCGGAACACGUACACAAUCUGCCUCUGUCUGGGGCAUAGCCCGAAGAAAUUCGGAUUAAUUCCCCAUAAGAUAUUAGGGUGGCAUCACCUAUAUAUUAAAGAAAUUCGGACAGAGAUGAGUGUGCGUCCCAUUAGCUAGUUGGUAGGGUAACGGCCUACCAAGGCGACGAUGGGUAGCUGGUGUGAGAGCACGACCAGCCACACGGGCACUGAGACACGGGCCCGACUCCUACGGGAGGCAGCAGUGAGGAAGAUUGGUCAAUGGACGCAAGUCUGAACCAGCCAUGCCGCGUGAAGGAUGAAGGCCUUCUGGGUUGUAAACUUCUUUUAUCUGGGAAGAAAAGCACUGUUUCUACGGUGUCCGACGGUACCAGAGGAAUAAGCACCGGCUAACUCCGUGCCAGCCGCCGCAGUAAGAC
rnacentral:rRNA from 1 species